rnacentral:rRNA from 1 species
GACGAACGCUGGCGGCGUGCUUAACACAUGCAAGUCGAACGGAAAGGCCCUGCUUUUGUGGGGUGCUCGAGUGGCGAACGGGUGAGUAACACGUGAGUAACCUGCCCUUGACUUUGGGAUAACUUCAGGAAACUGGGGCUAAUACCGGAUAGGAGCUCCUGCUGCAUGGUGGGGGUUGGAACGUUUCGGCGGUUGGGGAUGGACUCGCGGCUUAUCAGCUUGUUGGUGGGGUAGUGGCUUACCAAGGCUUUGACGGGUAGCCGGCCUGAGAGGGUGACCGGCCACAUUGGGACUGAGAUACGGCCCAGACUCCUACGGGAGGCAGCAGUGGGGAAUAUUGCACAAUGGGCGGAAGCCUGAUGCAGCAACGCCGCGUGCGGGAUGACGGCCUUCGGGUUGUAAACCGCUUUCGCCUGUGACGAAGCGUGAGUGACGGUAAUGGGUAAAGAAGCGCCGGCUAACUACGUG